rnacentral:rRNA from 1 species
UACGUAGGGUGCAAGCGUUGCCCGGAUUUAUUGGGCGUAAAGAGCUCGUAGGCGGUCUGUCGCGUCUGCUGUGAAAUCCCGAGGCUCAACCUCGGGCUUGCAGUGGGUACGGGCAGGCUAGAGUGCGGUAGGGGAGAAUGGAACUCCUGGUGUAGCGGUGGAAUGCGCAGAUAUCAGGAAGAACACCGAUGGCGAAGGCAGUUCUCUGGGCCGUAACUGACGCUGAGGAGCGAAAGCGUGGGGAGCGAACAGG